AUGGGGGUGAGGGGGAGUCCAACCCACCCUUCUGCCCAGGGGUCCCCCCAGUUCCCUGUGUCCCCCCUCCCUGACAGCGCCAGGUCCCCUCGCCCCCCUGCCCACGUACGUUUUUGGGGUGAAGUUGGCAGAAACGGCCUCUUUUCAGCCCGUUUUGGGGGCCUGGAGCCCCGGCAGGUGCCGUGGGGCGAGGGCCGGGCCCGGCUGCAGCUCCGCUGCCACUUCUGCCCCGGCGCUGGGGAGGAACCACCGGAAAAGAACCAAAACCCCAGUGCAAACCAGCACAGCUCCAGCCAAACCAGCAACAACCCCCAUUGCCCCUGCCGAAGCGGCUCCGACACCCCAAAAUCCCCUUUUUUGGCAAAAGCACGGCUCGGGGGGCGGGGUGGGGGAGCCCCCAGAACUCGCAGCCCGUUCCCGGCUGCGGGCAGGGACGGGAGCAGUCCCGGGGGCGGAUUUUGCCCGUUCCGGCGGGUUUUUGCCCCGUUCCGGAGUUGUGUAAGCGCCGGGAGCGGGGUCUGGAGGCGCUCCCGCUGUGUCACCGCUGUCCCCGGCCGUCCCCUCCCGGGCCCGCUCCGUACCUCUCUGCCUGCGGGGGCGGCGCUCCGGGUCUCGCCGCUUUUUUUGGGGGAGCAAACGGGGCAAAAGCGAAUUUGUCACCCCCAAACUUCCUGGAGCAGGAAGGCGAGGCCGCCCCCACCCCGAGACUCCUCCCUGCGCCGCUCCCUCCCCCCGCGGGGAGCGGCUCUGGGGGGGCCCGGGUGGGUUUGGGGCUGGUUUGGGGAAAAUCCUGCGGGAAUUUCACCGCAUUGGAGCGGGGAGGGGCGGGGGUGGGGCUGGGCAGGGCGGGGGGCACUGGGGGGUGGGCAGGGGGGAUGGACAGAGAUGGACACUGGGGGGAUGGACAGGGGGGAUGGACACUGGGGGGAUGGACAGGGAUGGACAGGGGGGAUGGACACUGGGGGGAUGGACACGCAGGGAUGGACACGCAGGGAUGGACACUGGGGGGAUGGACAGGGAUGGACACUGGGGGGAUGGACACUGGGGGGAUGGACACGCAGGGAUGGACACGCAGGGAUGGACACUGGGGGGAUGGACAGAGAUGGACACUGGGGGGAUGGACACUGGAUGGACACUGGGGGGACACUGGGGGGAUGGACACUGAGGGAGUGGACACUGGGGGAGUGGACAGGGGGGAUGGACACUGGGGGGACACUGGGGGGAUGGACAGAGAUGGACACUGGGGGGGAUGGACAGAGAUGGACACUGGGGGAUGGACAGAGAUGGACACUGGGGGAUGGACAGAGAUGGACACUGGGGAGAUGGACACGCAGGGAUGGACACACAGGGAUGGACAGAGAUGGACACUGGGGAGAUGGACACACAGGGAUGGACACUGGGGGGAUGGACACGCAGGGAUGGACAGAGAUGGACACUGGGGGGAUGGACAGGGGUGGACACUGGGGGGAUGGACACGCAGGGAUGGACACUGGGGGGACACGGGGUGGGGUGGACAUCUGUGGGGUGUGUGUGACACGGGUGACACACUCACCGUAG
rnacentral:lncRNA from 1 species